GCGACUGCGCCUCAAGGGUCGCGUCGGUCGCGUUUUCACGAUUCAAAGAUUGGUAGGCCUACGAUCAACGAUCCAUAAGCAACGACCCAAACAAUGACACUGUGGGAUGAGGAACGGAGAAGGAAUGCCAAGGAUAAGCGCUCAGUGUCAAAGCUUUGUUUACGUCUUUAAAUGGGGUAAUAGAAGCAAAUAACAGUACACCCGACGAUACUCUAUCUUUGAUAGUAGUACAACACACCAGGAACCUGAAUCAUCAUGUACCGUAGCAUACAAUCUUUGGCUUUUCGGAUUCGAUUCCAAAGCAUACUACAUAUGCAGCAAGGAGAUCAUCUUUCAAAGCAUUAAAACCUGUUCCAAUGUG